rnacentral:rRNA from 1 species
UAAUACGUAGGGGGCGAGCGUUGUCCGGAAUUACUGGGCGUAAAGCGCACGUAGGUGGUACGUCAAGUUCGGCGUGAAAUCUCCAGGCUCAACUUGGAGGGGUCGUCGAAGACUGGCGAACUAGGGUCUGGCAGAGGCAGGUAGAAUUCCCGGUGGAGCGGUGAAAUGCGUAGAGAUCGGGAGGAAUACCAGUGGCGAAGGCGGCCUGCUGGGCCACGACCGACACUGAGGUGCGAAAGCGUGGGGAGCGAACCGGAUUAGAUACCCGGGUAGUCCACGCCCUAAACGAUGGGUACUAGGCGUGGGGGGUAUCGACCCCCUCUGUGCCGAAGCUAACGCGAGAAGUACCCCGCCUGGGGAGUACGGCCGCAAGGUUG